rnacentral:rRNA from 1 species
CAUGAAUCGGAAUUGCUAGUAAUCNCGGAUCAGCAUGCCGCGGUGAAUACGUUCCCGGGCCUUGUACACACCGCCCGUCACACCAUGGAGCCGGUAAUACCCGAAGUCAGUAGUCCAACCUCGUGAGGACGCUGCCGAAGGUAGGAUUGGCGACUGGGGUGAAGUCGUAACAAGGUACC